rnacentral:misc_RNA from 1 species
GGUAGUAAAAGUCGUAACAAGGUUUCCGUAGGUGAACCUGCGGAAGGAUCAUUACCAGAAAGGAACCUGUUUCCUUGGGGCUCGGCCCCAUCUCUUCACCCCGCGUCCACUUACCUUUGUUGCUUUGGCGGGUUACGGGCGUCCCCUUCCUCCGGCGGCGCCCCCCGCCCGAAGCCCAGUUAAUUCCGUUUUUCAGCGUCGUCCGAGUUAUAAACCAAUCGUCAAAAACUUUCAACAACGGAUCUCUUGGUUCUG